rnacentral:lncRNA from 12 species
UCACCCUCUGCCUGGCUGCACAAGCAUCCUCGGAAUGAAAUCCUCAGCACAACAGCUGCCGAGGGGAAGAGCUCAAAUGAGAGGAGAAAGCGACUCCAGAGCCGGCGGCGAGACAGGGCCCAGGAGGAGAGAACCUUAGCCCUCCAUCUCGCCAGCCCAGCAAUCACAGCGAUGAGCCAAGUAUCUCUGGACAGUCUUUAAUUUAUUUCCCGGCGCUCACGGACACUGCUGAGAGACUUGAUGGCACCAGCUUAAACAUAAUAAAUUACUCAAGUAUCAGAGAUUAGUUAAUAAAAUGUCAACCGCUUGUAAAGUGCUGCUUUGUCAAAGAUACAAAAUAUUCCUCUGUUUCUCCCAAGAUA